AGUGGAAAUAGAGUCUGUCACUCACUUGAGAAUCUUCGCAAACGCAGCCAGGACUGGAUCAGGGAUGGACUUUAAUGGCGGCCUUUGGAUCAAGCAAGACACACACAAAUGGGUUUUUCAGGAAAAGACCAUGGGUGCGACUUGUGGGAGGCAAGAAACGGAUAAGAGAACACAGGGGACAAAAAUAGACGAAAGUGGGCGGAUCUGCUUUUGGUGCUGAAGGGAAAGGUUCUUUCAAGUCAUUCAAAGUAAAGCCACUUGGAGCCACAUCGAGAUGUACAAGGAAGCUGAACUCUCCUGAGCUAGUUGACUCUGCAAACUGUGACGUGACGGAAUGUAGGCAACCAAAGAAGCUCUCUGACUGACAAAUGAGGAAGUGCCAGUAAAUGAAGCAAAGUAAUAUCCUACCCGAUGUUCAUCCAUCAAAUGAUAUUGAAAAAGAAGUGCAUAUUUUGUUUUAUUGUCCUUUUUAUCAUAAUUUGAGGAGACAGAGAUUUUGUAAAUUGUCUGAUGUAGCUCUAUAUCUCCCUACACUGUCAGAUGAAGAACGACUCAAGCAUUUGUUCGAGCACAAGCCAUUUUAU